GGGCCAUUAGUUCGGGUGGUUAAAGCGCACCCCUGAUAAGGGUGAGGUCCCUGGUUCAAGUCCAGGAUGGCCCA
rnacentral:tRNA from 1 species